rnacentral:rRNA from 1 species
CACGUAGGCACCAAGCGUUGUCCGGAUUUAUUGGGCGUAAAGAGCUCGUAGGCGGUUCAGUAAGUCGGGUGUGAAAACUUUGGGCUUAACCCAAAGCGUGCAUCCGAUACUGCUGUGACUUGAGUUCGGUAGGGGGGUGGGGAAUUCCUAGUGUAGCGGUGAAAUGCGCAGAUAUUAGGAGGAACACCAGUGGCGAAGGCGGUGUUCUGGGCCUGUACUGACGCUAAAGCGCGAAAGCGUGGGGAGCGAACAGG